rnacentral:rRNA from 1 species
GAAUGCCGGUGUGAGUAGCGGAACGUGGGUGAGAAUCCCACGCACCGAAAACCCAAGGUUUCCAGAGGAAGGUUCGUCCGCUCUGGGUAAGUCGGGACCUAAGGCGAGGCCGAAAGGCGUAGUCGAUGGACAACAGGUAGAGAUUCCUGUACCCGUAUAUAUGUGAAGGAAUGACGGAGAGAGGAAGCUGCAGCCAGCGGCUGGAAGAGCUGGUGCAAGCGAGAUAUCGGGAUGGCAGGCAAAUCCACCAUCCGAAACGAGAAGGCGUGAAGCGUACGGAAAGCUACGGCGAGUACGGAAGGCAGUGGAGGAACUUCCAAGAAAAGUUUCUAACGUUAAGUAUAUAUGGCCCGUACCGAAAAUGGACACACAUGGGUGAGGAGAGAAUCCUAAGGUGAGCGAGAGAACUAUAGCUAAGGAACUCUGCAAAAUGACUCCGUAACUUAGGGAGAAGGAGUGCUCAUAGAGAUAUGAGCCGCAGUGAAACGGCCCAAGCGACUGUUUACCAAAAACACAGCUCUCUGCUAAGCCGCAAGGCGAAGUAUAGGGGGUGACGCCUGCCCGGUGCUGGAAGGUUAAGGGGAGGGGUUAACGCAAGUGAAGCCCUGAACUGAAGCCCCAGUAAACGGCGGCCGUAACUAUAACGGUCCUAAGGUAGCGAAAUUCCUUGUCAGGUAAGUUCUGACCCGCACGAAAGGCGUAACGAUUUGGGCGCUGUCUCAGCUGUAGACUCGGUGAAGUCUUAGUACCUGUGAAGAUGCAGGUUACCCGCGACUAGACGGAAAGACCCCAUGGAGCUUCACUGCAGGUUGAUAUUGGGAUUUGAUGCAGCAUGUACAGGAUAGGUAGGAGGCAAAGAGAUGGAUACGCCAGUAUUCAAGGAGCCGCUGUUGGGAUACUACCCCUGUUGUAUUGGAUUUCUAACCGGACGACGUAGAGCCGUUGACGGGACAGUGUCAGUCGGGCAGUUUGACUGGGGCGGUCGCCUCCCAAAGAGUAACGGAGGCGCCCAAAGAUACCCUCAGCUUGGAUGGAAACCAAGCGCAGAGUGCAAAGGCAAAAGGGUGUUUGACUGCGAGACCCACAAGUCGAGCAGGGACGAAAGUCGGGCUUAGUGAUCCGGCGGUGCUGAAUGGAAAGGCCGUCGCUCAACGGAUAAAAGCUACCCUGGGGAUAACAGGCUGAUCUCCCCCAAGAGUUCACAUCGACGGGGAGGUUUGGCACCUCGAUGUCGGCUCAUCGCAUCCUGGAGCUGAAGUCGGUUCCAAGGGUUGGGCUGUUCGCCCAUUAAAGCGGUACGCGAGCUGGGUUCAGAACGUCGUGAGACAGUUCGGUCCCUAUCUGUCGUGGGCGCAGGAAAUUUGAGAAGAGCUGUCCUCAGUACGAGAGGACCGGGAUGGACGCAUCAAUGGUGGACCAGUUGUCACGCCAGUGGCAUAGCUGGGUAGCUAAAUGCGGAAGGGAUAAACGCUGAAGGCAUCUAAGUGUGAAACCCACUUCAAGAUGAGAUUUCCCAUUGCGCAAGCAAGUAAGACCCCUUAAAGACGAUAAGGUAGAUAGGUCAGGAGUGUAAGCAUGGUGACAUGUUAAGCGGACUGAUACUAAUAGGUCGAGGGCUUGACCGA